rnacentral:rRNA from 1 species
UGAGCAAUCUGCCCUUCUCAUCGGAAUAAGCGUUGGAAACGACGUCUAAUGCCGAAUACGACCUCCUUUCGCAUGAUCGGAGGUGGAAAGCUCCGGCGGAGAAGGAUGAGCUCGCGGCCUAUCAGCUAGUUGGUGUGGGUAAUGGCUCACCAAGGCUUCGACGGGUAGCCGGCCUGAGAGGGUGACCGGCCACACUGGGACUGAGACACGGCCCAGACUCCGUAGGGAGG